CCAAAACUCCUCGACGGUAGUGAAGGUGUAGAUCGGGCGGAUGGAGCUGCCCCAAUCCUCCUGCUUGGACUUGGCGGGCUUUGCGGCAGGGCUAUCGAACCAGAAGGUCCAUGAGUGCUCCAGGGCGUGAGACUGCGGCGCAAUUCCCUUCGAAGGCUUCGACGACUCCGAGUCUUGGUCCUCGACGAUCUCUCCUUCUUCGGGCUCGUCGUCAUCCUCCCUCGGCUUAGCGUUCGCCUCGGUCUUGGCCUGAUCUUCUGUAGCUGAAGUCUUGGGUGCGUCUUCGACCACCAUUGUUAGGGUUUGCGGAGGAGUUUCUUGCUCUCUUCUUUCCCGGCGUUUCUUUUGUGCCAAAUGUGAAACGGUUGCGUUUUAUUGUUAGAGUGAUGCUAGGGCGACAUGGAAGUAGUUAAAGAUUGAAUUAUUAAUUAUAGAGUUUUAACAAAAUAUUUUUGUUACUGUUUAUUUUUAACGAAAAUUAUAUUUAUACACUUUCUGAUACUAUUUAUUAUACUUUUAAAAAUAAUUUUUUAUAAAAAGGAAAAAAAAUUUAAACUUUUCGUUAGUUUUUCUUAUUAAUUAAAAGUUAAUUAAUGUAAAUUAAAUUAUAAUUUAAUCGUGUUUAAUUUUUAUCGAUAAUACAUUACUUAUAUUAUCUUAACAUUCGAUAUAUUUUUCUUAUCUUAUAUCUAUGUUUUGUUUUGUGACUAAAUUUUAAUGGUUAACACGUGUUCGAUAAUUAGAUGAUCCGCAGCUCGGUUUUCUUUCCAAAUUUCUUCUAGAACUAAUUUCGUGUACUUUCUUUCCGCCUCCGCGUUUCUGUUUAUUUAUAUUUCUAAAUUUUUUUUUAUUUAAUUAAAAAAUAAUUAGGUUUGAAAUAAAAUUAUACACAAUUUGGACUACCGUACCACUAGGUCCGUCGAGCCGAGGACACAUGGCAGACAGUUGUGGAACCAGAAAUUUACCACAUUAGAACCAUAAAAUAGAAGCUUCCAAAAAUUGAUCAUUUGUUUACUUGUACUUGCCAAUUUAUAAUUUUUCUGUAAAAAUUUCAUUCCAGAUCAAUUAAUCAAUACAAAAAACCUAAAAACCCUAAUAAGCCCCAAGAUGAGAAAAAUACUAUAUGGUUGGAAUUCCGUGAUACAACCAAGUGCGAUGAAGGGUGCAUGAUCAAACUUGAAAACAAAAGAAGCUUUGAAUUAAGAGAUAUGAAGUCCGGAUAAAAAAGGCGUUUGCGUAUUUGAUAAAUCUUCAGCUUGUUUUGAGAAUUAGUGUGCAAAACUUUUCAUCUAAAUGAAACAGAACAAAACUAACGCAUAGGCGUAAAACGAAAAUGCAAAGGGGGAAUAUAACAUUAUUGGGUCAACAGCAGCCACUACCCCACAUUGGCUCCGGCACUGCCGACGGGGGGUGCGCUGGAACUUCUUUGGUCAUCCGAACCUAAGAAUUUCUCCGAGGCCUAAGAGUUUCUCAGAGUCGUCACAGCCAUCAUAGUUCAAAGUUAAAUAUUAUACAACUAUAUAUAUUAUAUACUUGUAUUCAGUCAACAUGUCCACUGCAGGAAAAUUAUUUACAACGGUCUCUCUUCCCUCUCAACACUCAUACAACACAACGAACUGAGUCAUAUCGGACUCGUCCAUCGUACUACAUUCACAUCUUAAACUGAUAAUUUGAAGUCAAAGUUUAAAAUCUGUAAGUGUAAACAUACGACGCCGGAAGAGAGCAAACAUUGGUCAGAAGUUACUCUGCAAGCUAGCAUAGAUUGCUGUUGUUGCAGUUGGAAAGCAUUAAGCACUACCAAGAACAGUACUAUACACAUCAGGCUACGUAUUUAUUCUUGGCACCUCUCCCAAGUCUAUUCGCAUCCUCCUGCAAAAACCGGAGCGUAUAGGGUAUUAUUUAUUUAUGAGGCCUCCAACUUAACAGGAAACUGAAUAGAAUAACGAACAAUAUACGUAAGAAACAACAUCCUUACAUGAAAUAUGAACCCAAUAGUUUCAUUGUAGUCCAGAAACCCCUUCCAUUGUUUCCCAAUGCUCACCUGCAGCAAGAAAGUGGAUGUGAGACAUCAUUGCAACUUUCUUUACUAGAAUGCAACUCACUGCUAUAAAUACAAAUAAGUGCAUGUAAUUUGACUGCGCCAUAUUCUCAAAGAAAGGCCUGUUUCCACCCUUCGGUGUUUGGACCAGGUGACAAGUCUGGCUCAACAAAUUUAAGUUAUGUACAAAAUGGAUUCCUAUAAACUGUUUGGCCCUAGUGGCCAAGUAGCUACCUUCUGGCUUUAUUGAAAGAGACCUUCUAUAUGAUUUAAGAGGAGAGCAGUUGAAUCGCCAAGGGUCUUGACGGAUUUAGGGACAGGGAACAAGUAGCUACCUUCUGGCUUUAUUGAAAGAGACCUUCUAUAUGAUUAAAGAGGAGAGCAGUUGAAUCGCCAAGGGUCUUGACGGAUUUAGGGACAGGGAAAUUGAUCAACUUAACGAAUAAGUCUUUCUUUCUUCCUAAAUAAACAAGAAAUCUUUCCUUCCUCUAAAGCAACAAACCCAAAAUGUGAUGCUGAGAAAAUUCUAUCUAAUGAUACAAAACUUUUAAAAUUUUCAACUUUCAUGUAUGUAACGUGCCUUCAUGCAAUACACACCAUACAGGGAGUCAAGCAGCAAUUACCUGAGCAGCUUCAUUUGUUGCAUUCUUGGUCCAAAGAGUUAUUUUUUCUAGGCUUUUUCUGACACUGACAACUGCUCCACAGAUUUCAUCUCCAUGAUCAAACUGUUCUCCUAUCAUUGCUAGCAACUAGUACCAGAAAAUACAAAACAAUUAGAGGCCACACACACACACACACAUAUAUAUAUAUAUCAAUUUACCCACCCUCAAAUACCACUUUCAGUUUAGACCAUACCGUAUACAACCAAGAGGUAUCAGAUUUCCCUUUAGGAUAGGUGACAGUCCACUUUCCUCCAUUAGCACACACAGGAUCCUCCCACUUUGGCUCAAUUUUGUAUUUGAAACAAUGGAAAUCCGUCCCCGCAUUGAACUUGCUAGGAUGACCUAUUUUGUUGUAAAUGCUGAAUGCAAAACAGAUAUUAUAAGCAAAUUUGAGUCACUAUCAAGAAAAGAUGAAGAGCGGCAGACAGCAAGCACAACUGCUGGAUAAUUCGUGCAGUUCCAUGCAAUUAAUUCUCAUUACAUACAGUUUUUUUAGAUAACAACUUUGGAUUUAGGUUUCUUUAUGAAAAAGGAACCAAGGAGUUUGUCCACACAUACAGUUUAUUAGCUCAAAAGAAAUACUACCAUGCUUGCUUAAAUAACAUUACUUGAACCGAAAACAUCCACACUGAUACAUAUUGAAGCAUCCCAAAGAUCUAAGGAAACCCCUUCUAGCAAUUAUUUUGAUGUUGUUUGUGAAAUCAACACAUGGAUGUAGAAAUAGACACAUGGAUGUAGAAAAUGUUGGUAAACAAUAGAAACCAAAAUCUCGUACUUUAACUAUGGAGAAUGCAAAUCAUCACUCUAAAUCACAGGGCAGUCCCGUGAGUUCCAUAGUUUCCAAUUUCUAGGUUUGCAAUCGAUACAAAACCAAAUCCAUUUCCUUUACCAAAAACUGACCAAAUUUGUUCUAUCACAAACUACAGCAAGCACGUAACAAACUCAAAAGAUUCAAUCUUUUCUCAGUUUUCCUACCAACCAAACAAAAUUAAACCCAAAACCACAGGAAAUGAAAGAAAUUAACCUCCAGAACUCCUCGACGGUAGUGAAGGUGUAGAUCGGGCGGAUGGAGCUGCCCCAAUGCUCCUGCUUGGACUUGACGGACUUUGCGGCAGGGCUUUUUAACGAGAAGGUCCAGGAGUGCUCCAGGGCGUGAGACUGCGGCGCAAUUCCCUUCGAAGGCUUCGACGACGCCGAGUCUUGGUCGCCAACGAUCUCUCCUUCUUCGGGCUCGUCGUCCUCCUCCCUCGGCUUAGCGUUCGCCUCGGUCUUGGCCUGAUC
rnacentral:lncRNA from 1 species